UGGGACAAAUAACCCCGGGGGCACAGGAGCUGCAGAGGUAAUGAAGUGCCUUGAGGAAAAAGUCUUAACUAUCAAGGGAUAGAUCCACUCCCCCUGCCACAAACCAGAGGUCACGUGGCUGAGGAAUGUGUAUCCAAAGAUAGUGCUACCUUCCGAGAACUCUACUUACAGUUUGCACAGAGCUUGUUUCCAAGAGAAGGAUGUAAUUUAAAAGAUGGAGACAUCAUCUAUACCAUCCCUUAUCUCUUAACAACCCAUCAUUUGUGUUAUGGUUGGAUCAGCAGCCAGAUCUCUGCAGCUGUGUGGAGUGGGCAGACAGUUUGACAACCUGAGGAGGAAAACAAGUCAAAAGCACAGAUUGCCAGGGUCUGAAAUUUUCCACUUUCUUGUAUAACAACAUGGGAAUACUGCAGCUGGCACGUGCCACCAUGUGCAGAUGGAUCAGCAGCAGCACACAGAGACACUGAGCUGGCAAAAAGCAUUUCCUUGGUGUCCACAUCUGCAGAGAUCUGUGCACACAGACCUGGCCACCCUCUGCUGUGCAGCUGAGUGCUCCUUGACUGCAGCCUUGCUGUGAAAGCCUCAGCCAAAGCUGCCCCUUUCCCCCCCUACUCUGAAGCACCAUUACCUUCCUCCUCUUCCUCCUCCUCCUCCUGCACAUCUGCACAGGAUAUUUUUUUGGCCAGAAUAAGAUGAACACAGGUGGUAACAUAAGGCACAUUGCAUCUAGAUUUGACACCUGGUGCACAUAGGGCUUACAAGUUUUAAUCAGUUUUAUGCAAGUUUUUGGCACUCUGGUUUUCUUUUUUUUUUUUUUUUUUUAAACCAGUUUAAUAAGUGGGCAAAAAGCAGCAGCAGAUUUACUUAGGGGGGGUUCAAAUUUGUCUUCAAAGGGUCUGUGUU